rnacentral:rRNA from 1 species
GUGAGGAAUAUUGGGCAAUGGGGGAAACCCUGACCCAGCGACGCCGCGUGAGGGAAGAAGGUCUUCGGAUUGUAAACCUCUGUCUUCGGGGACGAUAAUGACGGUACCCGGGGAGGAAGCCACGGCUAACUACGUGCCAGCAGCCGCGGUAAAACGUAGGUGGCAAGCGUUGUCCGGAAUUACUGGGUGUAAAGGGAGCGCAGGUGGGGCUGUAAGUCGAAUGUGAAAUCUAUGGGCUCAACUCAUAAAUUGCGUUCGAUACUAUAGUUCUUGAGUGGAGUAGAGGCAGGCGGAAUUCCCGGUGUAGCGGUGGAAUGCGUAGAUAUCAGGAGGAACACCAGUGGCGAAGGCGGCCUGCUGGGCUUUAACUGACACUGAGGCUCGAAAGCGUGGGUAGCAAACAGGAUUAGAAACCCGUGUAGUCC